GCAAAAUUGUUCGGAACAUGAUUCAAGGCUCCUCGAAAUAAAUUCAAACAAUGAAAAGAAGUUUGUUUCCAACGCUGUCGAACGAUAUGUAACAUACUGGAUUGGAAAAUGCGCAGGCAGGAAUGUGGCCUCUGAUCUUGUGUACGAGUUAAGCUAUGAAACGCCCACCUGCAGUAAGUGCGGAUCGAGUUACCGUUACAGUUGCAAAAGUAAAUUCAGAUUCAUCUGCGAGAAGACGGCAUAUUUAUACCCG